rnacentral:rRNA from 1 species
GCAAGUCGAACGGUAACAGAAAGAGCUUGCUCUUUGCUGACGAGUGGCGCACGGGUGAGUAAUAUAUAGUUAAUGUGCCCCAAAGACUAGGAUAGCCACUGGAAACGGUGAUUAAUACUGGAUAAGCCUCUAUCACAUAAGUGAGCGAGGAAAAUGUUUUUUCGCUUUGGGAUCAGACUAUAUCCUAUCAGGUAGUUGGUGAGGUAAGAGCUCACCAAGGCAAUGACGGGUAGCGGGUUUGAGAGGAUGAUC